GUCUUUAUGAUAUAUUUAUAAAGUCUGGCCUGCCCACUGAGUUUUAAAGGGCCGCGGUAUUUUGACCGUGCAAAGGUAGCAUAAUCAUUAGUCUUUUAAUUGGGGGCUUGUAUGAAUGGUCGCACAAGAAAUAAGCUGUCUUCAACUAAAUUUAUUGAAUUUAACUUUUAAGUAAAAAGGCUUAAAUAAAUUAAAGUGACGAUAAGACCCUAUAAAACUUGAUAAAUAAAGUUAAAAAAAGAUAUUAGUUAAUUGAAACUUUUUUUUGUGGUGUUUAUUUUAUUGGGGCGAUUAAAAUAUAAUAAGUAACUGUUUUUUACAUUUUUAUGAUAAAUAGUCAAGACAAAUAAAUGAUCCUUUAUUAGAGAUUAUAAGAUUAAGUUACUUUAGGGAUAACAGCGUAAUUUUCUUUGGGAGUUCAUAUCUACAAGAAAGAUUACGACCUCGAUGUUGAAUUAAAAAAUCUUUAAGGUGUAGCAGCUUUAAUAGAAGGUCUGUUCGACCUUUAAAUUUUU
rnacentral:rRNA from 1 species